GUGGAUGGUGUGGGCUGAUAUCUGAGAAAAGAACUUGAGGAGCCCAAGAGUCAGCCAAGUCAAGCCACACUGUCAGUAGAGACAAAACCAUCUCCUCUCACUGCUGAAGCAUGGCUGCAUGAUACCCAGGAGGAGAUGGUGCUUUAACAUCCAAGUGACUUGGCACCAGGAUGACACCACCCAUUUUCAAUUUAUGGGUCAAGGCAAUUGCCUUCCACUAGCUGCAAUCGAGCUGUCACCCUGAAGAUUACUGGAUUCA
rnacentral:lncRNA from 1 species